CCAUAUAUAAGCUCAUGCGAAAGAUCUGAGACUAUGAAUUUGUACUGGCUCUUCAGCUCAACAAAAUAAUUUUGUUUGACUUAACGGUUGCAAAUGCAAAAGAUACCAGAGUCGGUAUCGUGGACGGUUCGUUCUUUUGGCCAGCAUCCAGGACCGUACCUGGCCAAGAUAAAAGCAAAAAUACUAGCUAGCGCCGCUAAUUCCCCAGCUCACGCUGGCACAUCGGCCUGCUGUGGCACACUAUAUUCACCGGCAGUCUCGCCAACUGGCGACGUCGAACGACGAUGAAACCAUGUAGUGGGAUGUGGUACAGGAAUGCUGUGUAUCAGCUGCCUGAGGUGCAAGCUAUGCAGCAGGUGUCCAACUCGGGCUGUAAAGCUUGCUUGAUGGUUCAGUCUUUCUUAUUUUCAGUUGGUUUGAGUUUCCAAUGUGUCCCAUACCCAAGCCUCACCCUCAGUCACCAUUCAACCGCGGCACCGUAACUGUCCUUGACCAUGGCUCUCCUCCGGCUUCAUUCUCGCCACUAUGCUAUAUAAAGGAGUUGAAAU
rnacentral:lncRNA from 1 species